rnacentral:rRNA from 1 species
GACGAACGCUGGCGGCGUGCUUAACACAUGCAAGUCGAACGGAAAGACCCUGCUUUUGUUGGGUUCUCGAUUGGCGAACGGGUGAGUAACACGUGAGUAACCUGCCCUUGACUGUGGGAUAACUUCAGGAAACUGGGGCUAAUACCGGAGAGGAGCUCCUGCUGCAUGGGGUGGGUUGGAAAGUGUCGGCGGUUGUGGAUGGACUCGCGGCUUAUCAGCUUGUUGGUGAGGUAGUUGCGUACCAAGGCUUUGACGGGUAGCCUGCCUGAGAGGGUGAACGGCGACAUUGGGACUGCGAUACGGACCAGAAUCCUACGGGAGGCAGCAGUCGGGAAUAUUGCAGAAUGGGCGGAAGUCUGAUGCAGCAACGCCGCGUGCGGGAUGCCGGCCUUCGGGUUGUAAACAGCUUUCGACUGUGCCGAAGCGUGAGUGACGGUAAUGGGUAAAGAAGCACCGGCUAACUACGUG